UGAUUGGUGCUUGCAUCAUGAUUUACAUUUGAGUGCGUGGCGAACUGGUGAGUAACACGUGGGAAACCUGCCCAGAAGCGGGGGAUAACACCUGGAAACAGAUGCUAAUACCGCAUAACAACUUGGACCGCAUGGUCCGAGCUUGAAAGAUGGCUUCGGCUAUCACUUUUGGAUGGUCCCGCGGCGUAUUAGCUAGAUGGUGGGGUAACGGCUCACCAUGGCAACGAUACGUAGCCGACCUGAGAGGGUAAUCGGCCACAUUGGGACUGAGACACGGCCCAAACUCCUACGGGAGGCAGCAGUAGGGAAUCUUCCACAAUGGACGAAAGUCUGAUGGAGCAACGCCGCGUGAGUGAAGAAGGGUUUCGGCUCGUAAAACUCUGUUGUUAAAGAAGAACAUAUCUGAGAGUAACUGUUCAGGUAUUGACGGUAUUUAACCAGAAAGCCACGGCUAACUACGUGCCAGCAGCCGCGGUAAUACGUAGGUGGCAAGCGUUGUCCGGAUUUAUUGGGCGUAAAGCGAGCGCAGGCGGUUUUUUAAGUCUGAUGUGAAAGCCUUCGGCUCAACCGAAGAAGUGCAUCGGAAACUGGGAAACUUGAGUGCAGAAGAGGACAGUGGAACUCCAUGUGUAGCGGUGAAAUGCGUAGAUAUAUGGAAGAACACCAGUGGCGAAGGCGGCUGUCUGGUCUGUAACUGACGCUGAGGCUCGAAAGUAUGGGUAGCAAACAGGAUUAGAUACCCUGGUAGUCCAUACCGUAAACGAUGAAUGCUAAGUGUUGGAGGGUUUCCGCCCUUCAGUGCUGCAGCUAACGCAUUAAGCAUUCCGCCUGGGGAGUACGGCCGCAAGGCUGAAACUCAAAGGAAUUGACGGGGGCCCGCACAAGCGGUGGA
rnacentral:rRNA from 1 species